rnacentral:rRNA from 1 species
CCUACGGGAGGCAGCAGUGGGGAAUAUUGCGCAAUGGGCGAAAGCCUGACGCAGCGACGCCGCGUGAGGGAUGAAGGUCUUCGGAUCGUAAACCUCUGUCAGCAGGGAAGAACGGUCACUGUGCUAAUCAGCAGUGAAUUGACGGUACCUGCAAAGGAAGCACCGUCUAACUCCGUGCCAGCAGCCGCGGUGAUACGGAGGGUGCGAGCGUUAAUCGGAAGUACUGGGCGUAAAGCGGUCGUAGGCGGUAUGUCAAGUCAAGGGUGAAAUCCCCGCGCGCAAAGUGGGCACUGCCUUUGAAACUGGCAGACUGGAGUGUGUGAGAGGAUAGUGGAAUUCCAGGUGUAGGAGUGAAAUCCGUAGAUAUCUGGAAGAACAUCAGUGGCGAAGGCGACUAUCUGGCACAUAACUGACGCUGAGGAGCGAAAGCGUGGGUAGCAAACAGGAUUAGAUACCCUAGUAGUC